AGUGAACGCUGGCGGUAGGCCUAACACAUGCAAGUCGAACGGCAGCACAGUAAGAGCUUGCUCUUACGGGUGGCGAGUGGCGGACGGGUGAGGAAUACAUCGGAAUCUACUUUUUCGUGGGGGAUAACGUAGGGAAACUUACGCUAAUACCGCAUACGGCCUACGGGUGAAAGCAGGGGAUCUUCGGACCUUUCGCGAUUGAAUGAGCCGAUGUCGGAUUAGCUAGUUGGCGGGGUAAAGGCCCACCAAGGCGACGAUCCGUAGCUGGUCUGAGAGGAUGAUCAGCCACACUGGAACUGAGACACGGUCCAGACUCCUACGGGAGGCAGCAGUGGGGAAUAUUGGACAAUGGGCGCAAGCCUGAUCCAGCCAUACCGCGUGGGUGAAGAAGGCCUUCGGGUUGUAAAGCCCUUUUGUUGGGAAAGAAAAGCAGCAGGUUAAUACCCCGCUGUUCUGACGGUACCCAAAGAAUAAGCACCGGCUAACUUCGUG
rnacentral:rRNA from 1 species